ACGCUCGACACCUACGAGGCAGCAGUGGGGAAUAUUGCACAAUGGAGGAAACUCUGAUGCAGCGACGCCGCGUGAGCGAAGAAGUAUUUCGGUAUGUAAAGCUCUAUCAGCAGGGAAGAAAAAGGACGGUACCUGACUAAGAAGCUCCGGCUAAAUACGUGCUAGCAGCCGCGGUAAUCUGAGCGGGCUGGCAAGGC
rnacentral:rRNA from 1 species